GAUUGAACGCUGGCGGCAGGCCUAACACAUGCAAGUCGAGCGGAUGAAGGGAGCUUGCUCCUGGAUUCAGCGGCGGACGGGUGAGUAAUGCCUAGGAAUCUGCCUGGUAGUGGGGGAUAACGUCCGGAAACGGGCGCUAAUACCGCAUACGUCCUGAGGGAGAAAGUGGGGGAUCUUCGGACCUCACGCUAUCAGAUGAGCCUAGGUCGGAUUAGCUAGUUGGUGGGGUAAAGGCCUACCAAGGCGACGAUCCGUAACUGGUCUGAGAGGAUGAUCAGUCACACUGGAACUGAGACACGGUCCAGACUCCUACGGGAGGCAGCAGUGGGAAAUAUUGGACAAUGGGCGAAAGCCUGAUCCAGCCAUGCCGCGUGUGUGAAGAAGGUCUUCGGAUUGUAAAGCACUUUAAGUUGGGAGGAAGGGCAGUAAGUUAAUACCUUGCUGUUUUGACGUUACCAACAGAAUAAGCACCGGCUAACUUCGUG
rnacentral:rRNA from 1 species